UGGCAAUAACAGGGUGAUGAGAACACCCCUCACAUCUGUUGAACACCCUCACAUCUCGUUCUCAUUCAAUUCUCAUGAGCCCGUGAGAAGGUGGGUCAGAUGUUUUCAGCUGCAUUUUAUGAAAGUAGUAUAGUGACCUACCCAGGGCCACAGGGCCACUAAGAGGCAAAGCUGGGCCAAGUGUAGGGGUGCCGUGUACACCUCUCCACUGCACUGAAAGAUCCCCUGGAAUCUGGAGUCAGCACUGGAACUUCAGUGACCCAGAAGACCCUGAGGAUGCAAGAACUGGAGGAAACGACAAGCACCUGGGUGACAGGAAUGUGCUGGUUGAUGCUUCCUGCUGUAGUCAACAGUCCUAGUUCUUUGUGAGAGAAGACACGCUCCUUUCUCAUUGUCACCCAUCCCACAGGCCCUCAGGGGAUGCCAACACCAUAAAAGAACACAAAACCUGGAUGCCAUCUUUACGUGAGGACAUCCUUCACCUUCUUUUCUGGGGCCUCACCCCCUCGAAGCCUCCACCACUCCACGGAACUCUCUUUCUGCCCUGUGUGGGAUUAACCAGAUGGAGCCCAGUAAGAAGAACCUAUAGGACCCCGUCUUCGACUUGAAGGCUUGGAACUUGCAAGAUGAGCAGCAGGGUGAGCCCAGUGACCACAGGACCAAACGGCUCCUAGUUGGAGAGCAGUGGUAACCCUUGGAUCUGCUUCGGAUGACUUUUUGUUUAUUUGCUUUGCUGUCAAUUGGUGUCACUUGUAGCCAUUGAGUCUUCCUUCAAUAUGCUGUUUCUCAUCACAUUAAUUUCUUUUCUAGUAAAAUGGGAAUCAAAACAGCUGCUUAUCCUGGUGGCUUGGGCACACACCCAACAGACACCAUGUGAAUCCCUCCUGUGCACACCACGUGUCAGGGGAGUGGAGAUGCCCAAUGCUACGUGGGGUCUGUGCCCUUGGGAUGCCCGCACCCAGUGCUGGCAACUAGACAUGAGCAUCCAGAAGGAGUCACCAGAGGGGCUGGCUUUGGAAAGGUCCCCGAGGUGUCGGGGAGAACUGAAGGAGAACCUGUGAAGUUAUGCUUUCCAAACUGGGGACAGCAGGAGCUCAUUGCUGGAGCAAGAUGGAGGUGGCCUGGGGGCCUUCCCAGGUUGCUGAGAUGUGACAGAUUCAAAUGAGAGUUUCCAGAACAUCUCUGCCUCUCCCAACCAGUCCCCUUCCAAUGCAGUUAAUAGACCGGGGUCAAAUCUGGGCCUCAGCAGUCCCACCAGGGCGGGCUGGCGCCUGGAGUCAUCGUCACGCUCGCUCUGAGUCUACAUCAGGAGCAGGCCAGUGCCCUUGAGGACCAAGAUGGCAGGAGGUGGCUGGGGAAUCAUACAAACUUGUCUGAGUUCUACCCUGUUCCUUCCUGGGUGUUUGCAAGAUUUAAAACACAAUAUUUUAAAAAUAGUACUUUUGCAUGAUUCAAUGCUCCAAGGUAUAUCUGAUGAAAUUCUUAUCAAGGUUUUCCUUUAUCUACACAGACCUCC